AGUGAACGCUGGCGGUAGGCCUAACACAUGCAAGUCGAACGGCAGCACAGUAAGAGCUUGCUCUUACGGGUGGCGAGUGGUGGACGGGUGAGGAAUACAUCGGAAUCUACUUUUUCGUGGGGGAUAACGUAGGGAAACUUACGCUAAUACCGCAUACGACCUACGGGUGAAAGCAGGGGAUCUUCGGACCUUGCGCGAUUGAAUGAGCCGAUGUCGGAUUAGCUAGUUGGCGGGGUAAAGGCCCACCAAGGCGAUGAUCCGUAGCUGGUCUGAGAGGAUGAUCAGCCACACUGGAACUGAGACACGGUCCAGACUCCUACGGGAGGCAGCAGUGGGGAAUAUUGGACAAUGGGCGCAAGCCUGAUCCAGCCAUACCGCGUGGGUGAAGAAGGCCUUCGGGUUGUAAAGCCCUUUUGUUGGGAAAGAAAAGCAGCAGGUUAAUACCCCGCUGUUCUGACGGUACCCAAAGAAUAAGCACCGGCUAACUUCGUG
rnacentral:rRNA from 1 species